CUCAAAAAAAAAAAAAGAAAAAAAAACCACACAAAGAAAAACGACAAUGGAAACAACCCAAGUCUUUGUCUAUAAGGAAUGUUUAGAGAAAACGUGGAAGCGGCCCUCAAAAAGAGGUGCAGCUUAUCCCUGCAUACCGACAGGGCUAAGGCCCUGGAUAUAGUAACUGAAAAAUUCCAGGCGUAACACAAUGUUGACAGCACAAUCUCACUUUUGCUUUAAUACAUGUGCAUGUGUGUGUGUGUGCGUGUGUGUGUGCGCACAGGGAAGCCCCGGAGGGCCGCGUCCUGCUGUUCCCUGGCGCGCCCUUGGAGGAGUGGGAUUGAGGUUGGGCCGAGGCUGCUGCUGCAGGGACGGAUGUGGGUCUGCUUCGUGCCCGUGGCAGGUUCAGCGUUAUGUGCAGUGAGCACGUUCUUGCUGAGAUUACAGAAGAGCCGAGGGAGCCGCUCCGAGGGUGGCGCGUCCCUUGCCUCCGGUGUGGGAGGUGCUUCUUUGACUGUAGCCCUCCCAGCUUUGGAGGUUUGGCCUCCCCGCUUUGGAAAACGAAGUGUUGCUGGUAGGAUGGCUUAAAAAUCAUGUUCAUGCGCAUUUCUUUAUCACCGACGAUCUUGAAUAUGUCUCUGCGUGCUUGUUCACCUGGUGUCUUCUUUUGUGAAGUGUGUGCCAAAGAAGGAAGGGGUUAAACUUGUCGGGGGCACCCAGAGCUUCCCUGGCUUCCUCCCUUCUCUCCGGAAAGCUCUGAGGAGGUAUUAGAGGAUUGCUGGAGGUGGAGGCCCGAGGCCUUCUCCCAGCAGGGCCCGGGCAGAUGGAGGGUCUAAGAACAUACCCGCCGCUGGUGAACAGCCAUUUUGCUCUAAGAAUUUUCUGUCGGCCAGGGCCCCAGUCCUGGUUUGCGUCAAAUCCUCUGAGCCGGGCCAAGCAGUGCAUUGGUGCGGAAGAUGCUGGCUCCCCUGAAACUAGGCCCAGGGGAUGGGAAAAGCCGAGUGGAGAUUAAGGAGGGAGCGAGGAAACGAUGCCUAAACAAGUUCUGUCCUUCCGUCACUGCUGCCACGAGGGGCUAGAUACAGAAUUCAGCUUUGCUGUGACAAGUGUGUGGAUGGAAUUUAAAUGAAUAUAAAUGAGUAGCCAAGGUCUUAUCAAAGGAUGUUGGUGAUUGGUAUCAUGACUGUUUGCCCUUUGGGGUUGGGGUGCUGGAGAGUACCCACCAGUUCCCUCAGGGCCUCCCGGGGCCCAGGUCACGUCACAACCCCUAGCCAUGGUCCCAGCAGCUCCCGGUCAGCUCUGGCUCAACUCACAGGCUCCCCUUCCAGCCUGCAGGAACAGUAACGGGGACCAGGGCACAGAUUCGGGCAGUCCCAGGUGUGCCACUGAGUCCGAGAAGAUUUUUGGGAAGCACCAGUCAGUCCUGCACGUUACGUCUCUGCUGUUGGGGUGCGCGGAGGCGGUUCGAGUGAACCCUGGGGGGCUGAAAGGCGGGACCAAGCCAUGUGGGAUGUCACAAAGCCCAGCAGCUCAGAAUCUAGAAGGUUCUGGCUUUCUGUUCCCCGUUCCUGCCACCCACUGUGUCUCUUCGCCAGUCCCUACACUGUCUGCACCACAGUGUCCUGGUUAGGGAGAGGAACAGACUGGGCCUGGUGAUCUUCAGGGUCCUCCAGGGCCUGCGGGUUCUGUGUCUUUUUCUGGACAAACCCUGGUUACACCACCCCACAACGUAGCGGCCCAGACUCCCACUGCAUGUUCCCCUGGGAACCUCUUCUUAGUGUCUUGUUCCUCCGGGAAGGAAGGAAAGCUCCGGCUUGUUAGGCGGAAUUUGCUGACCCUACAUGGUGGUCAAGAAGCCCGUGCCGUGAAGCCAAGAGAGAAGGGGAAUUUGGGCUGCAAGCCUGAAAAAGAGUUCAUGAAAUUUAAUCAGAUGCCUAAGGGGAACACCUAAAUUUAGUCAAAUUAUUAUCAGUAUUCACUCCAUUUUUAAAUUGCCUAGGGGAACGUCACGGAAAAGUUGGGAAGCCACCAGCCUGGGUGGUGAUUAUUCUGUUUCUGCAGAGCAGUGGGAUGCGCUGGGAGGCUCGGAGGCCCAGAUGAACCUCGCGGCCACCCUCCACGGCACGAGAUGACACAGGGACGUCUUCACGCCCAGAUGCAUUUGCAGCUAUGCGGUCCUCCCGCCUCCCGCUUCAGGCCUCUCCCAUCUCCCCUGGGUUUCCACACAGUGUCGCAGCUUCACCUCGAGAGGGCCACGUGAUUGGCGGCACUGGGGAUGCCUGAGCCCUUGAUCCCUCUGCUGGGGUCCAGGGCGUGGGUGUGCAUCCCUGGAGCGUGUGUGCUCUGGGCGUGGGUGUGCGUCCCCGGAGCGCGUGUGCUCUGGGCGUGGGUGUGCAUCCCCGGAGCGUGUGUGCUCUAGGCGUGGGUGUGCGUCCCCGGAGCGUGUGUGCUCUGGCCUUCCCUGCCCAGCUCCUAUGGCUCCUCCUUUCCCUAGGUUGGGCAGAAUCUCCCAGGUGUGCUGCUGAUGGACAGGCUGAGAGCGUGGAGCCCACGAGGGCGCUUUGGUUUAGAAUCAUCUCAUUGGUUUGCCCACGUUAAGCUCCUAUAAAAUCUAGGGGAAAAAAAAUAAACAUUCUUUUUGGGUUCAGAAAAA